rnacentral:lncRNA from 1 species
UUCUGUAGCUGUAAUGAAAUUGUGUUUCUGUUUUAUUUUUAGAUUUAUUUAUUUAUUUUUUUACCAGUGGCAUUAGGGAUGCUCCAUAUUUAUUCCUGAGAGAUCAAAAAGGAAAUAAAAGUAAGCAUGAGACUAUGAAGCAAUAUAGCAAGCUGCUUUGACUCAACAUAAUCCCAGAACAUUCAAGCAGCCCUUUAUAGUGUUUCAUUUCACUGCAGUGAUGACAGGAGUUUCAUUUCAGUGGUGGAAGAAAAUCCUAUACUUCUGUGGAAGACAAAAUGUUGCAAACAAAAGAGCUACAAGACACCAAAAGAAUACCAAGGAACGGGAUACGUUUGCUGUGCUGAGAGACUACUGAUAAAGCAACCUCUGAUGUAAAUUUGCAGAGUCCCUCUGCUGCUGCUGAAUAUGCAUCCUCUUUGGAGGUGCUGGCUCUGCCACUGCUCAUGGUGGCUGACACUGAGCGAAGUGGCCUGUUGGAAUUUAGUUGCUACCCGUGC